GAUGAACGCUGGCGGCGUGCUUAACACAUGCAAGUCGAACGACUAAAGCUCUCUUCGGAGAGUGUAUAAAGUGGCGAACGGGUGAGUAACACGUGGGCAAUCUGCCCCUCACUCUGGGAUAACCCCGGGAAACCGGGGCUAAUACCGGAUACUCCGGUCGGGUCGCAUGGCCUGAUCGGGAAAGCUCCGACGGUGAGGGAUGAGCCCGCGGCCCAUUAGCUUGUUGGUGGGGUAAUGGCCCACCAAGGCAACGAUGGGUAGCCGAGCUGAGAGGCUGAUCGGCCACACUGGGACUGAGACACGGCCCAGACUCCUACGGGUGGCAG
rnacentral:rRNA from 1 species